rnacentral:misc_RNA from 1 species
UCUCCGUUGGUGAACCAGCGGAGGGAUCAUUAUAGAGUUUUCACAACUCCCAACCCUUGCGAACCGUACCCCUACUGGUCUCGUUGCUUCCGCCCGGGGGGACGGGGGGGCCGGAAACGGCCACCCCGUCCCCCCCGCCGGGGGCGGGGGUACCUACGAACCAUUAUAUAUCUUUCACCAGAAAACCUCUGGGAAAUCAAACAAAAUAAUAAAAACUUACAACAACGGAGCUCUUGGCUGUGGCAUCGUUGAAGAACGCAGCAGAACAGAAUCGCACAC